rnacentral:rRNA from 1 species
UACAGAGGGUGCAAGCGUUAAUCGGAAUUACUGGGCGUAAAGCGUGCGUAGACGGUUAUUUAAGUCAGGUGUGAAAGCCCCGGGCUCAACCUCGGGAAUUGCAUUUGAGACUGAAUAGCUAGGGUGCGGAAGAGGGAAGCGGAAUUUCCGGUGUAGCGGUGAAAUGCGUAGAUAUCGGAAGGAACACCAGUGGCGAAAGCGGCUUCCUGGUCCAGCACCGACGUUCAGGCACGAAAGCGUGGGGAGCAAACAGG